ensembl:lncRNA
AAUAAUAUUUUAUUACAACUUUUAGUAUAACAUAGUAAAUAAAUUUUAAUCACAAUCGUGUCACUAUCAACACUAUCAACUUUAUUUUCUUCUGUUCACAGAUUUACCCAGAUCUACACUGACUUUGACUCCAGACAGUCCUGUAUUCACUGGAGAGAGAGUGAUUCUGAAGUGUGAGAUUGAGUCUUACAGAGUACAGAGACUGGACAUGAAGAAAACAUGAAACCUUUCGUUGUUUGUUUGUCAAAAUGUUCAAUAAACUAUCAUAUAAAAAAAGUGAUUUAUCCAAGUAUAAUCUCAUAAUUUUAGGCAUAACAGUUAAAUGUGCUACCCUUCACCAAAAAAAACAACAACAUUGAACUUGUUCUAUCAUGUCCGCAAAUGUACAUGAUCUGAAGAAAAUAUAUAGAAAACAUCACAUUAUGAAUUAACAGGUAUAGAAAUUUGAUGUCAUUAUGAAACCUAUAACCUAAACUAUAACAUGAAUAUCUUUAUUAUUUCUGUCUCAUAGUCUCGAGUUUCUUCUACUAUAAAAACAGAGCUGGAUUGUGCAGAAAGAAAACAGUAUUAAAAAUAAACUGAACACGAAGACUGGAGUAAAUAGACUCUGGAAUAGGCUUCUUGGGCGCAGACUUCACUGCUUCAGGCAUUAUAUUCUUUACAAUAAAUAAAAAUGGAAUAAAUGUCACUAGAACACACGGUUUUUUAGCACUGCUCUAUGCUAAUUUAAAAGAGAAAACGGCGGUCUGUGAUUGCGAGUCUGCAUUGACCAACCCACAGAAUGAUUUCAUUGGCCGAAUCAGAGCCAAUCAGAGGCUUUAAAAUGUUAAUCCCGCCCAUCACCUCAUGCUUUACAUCUAUCAUCAGAUCUGUUCCUUUGAUUGAAGAGGUUGUGUUUUCUCCAGGAGUGUCUUAACCUCCGAAUCCGUACAGAGCGCGUCCCUGUCGUUUCAGAGCAUAAACAACAUCAUGGCGGUGACGCUCUUUCUUUUAGCGGGUUCAGUGUAGCUCACAGCAUCGAGAAUAACAUUCUCCCGAAACACCUUCAACACACCGCGCGUCUCCUCGUAGAUCAACCCGGAAAUACGCUUGACGGGCCGCGGCGCGCAAGACGACGAAUAGCGGGUUUAGUGACUCCCCGGAAAUUAUCACCAGGAACCUUCCGGUGACGCUCAGCGCCUCCUUUUCAGAGACCUUUACCGCCCUUUCCUCACCCAGACAUGCUUAUGACUAUAUUCACAAACACACAAACUCUCUGAAUAAAACAAUUGAGGAAAACGGGUGUUUAUACUUC